AUUGAACGCUGGCGGCAGGCUUAACACAUGCAAGUCGAACGAGUGGCGGACGGGUGAGUAAUGUCUGGGAAACUGCCUGAUGGAGGGGGAUAACUACCGGAAACGGUAGCUAAUACCGCAUACCAUCGGAUGUGCCCAGGUGGGAUUAGCUAGUUGGUGGGGUAAAGGCUCACCUAGGCGACGAUCCCUAGCUGGUCUGAGAGGAUGACCAGCCACACUGGGACGGAGACACGGUCCAGACUCCUACGGGAGGCAGCAGUGGGGAAUAUUGCACAAUGGGCGCAAGCCUGAUGCAGCCAUGCCGCGUGUCUGAAGAAGGCCUUCGGGUUGUAAAGUACUUUCGGCAGGGAGGCGUUACCCGCAGAAGAAGCACCGGCUAACUCCGUGCCAGCAGCCGCGGUAAUUC
rnacentral:rRNA from 1 species